GAUGAACGCUGGCGGCAGGCCUAACACAUGCAAGUCGAACGGUAAAAGGAGCUUGCUCCUUUGAGUCCGGCGCACGGGCGCGUAACGCGGAUGCAACCUACCUUGUACAUGGGAAUAGCGCAGAGAAAUUGGGAUGAAUGCCUCAUACUAUAUAACGUUGGCAUGGCAGGGAGGUGAAAGUUCCAACGGUACAAGAUCAGCUGGCGUACGAUGAGUUAGUUGAUACGGUAACGGCUGACCAAGACGUCGAUGGGAAGGGGGCCUGAGAGGGAGGACCCCCACACUGGGACUGAGACACGGCCCAGACUCCUACGGGAGGCAGCAGUGAGGAAUAUUGGGCCAUGGUCGCAAGGCUGACCCAGCGACGCCGCGUGGAGGAAGACGGGCUUAUGGAUUGCAACCUGCUUUGACACAGGGAGAAACCCUCGGACGUGUGGGCGUUGACGGUAACGGUAGAAGAAGCACCGGCUAACUUCGUU
rnacentral:rRNA from 1 species